GACCAGCAUAUGGGAAGAGGAAGACAUGCCCCCAGAACUCAGAGAUGCCUCCAUCGUAGUCCUAUACAAGAACAAAGGCUCACGAACAGCCUGUGACAACUACAGAGGCAUCUCACUACUCUACACUGCUGGAAAGAUCCUCGCCCGUGUCAUGCUCAACAGACUCCUGUCAUCUGUUUCAGAGCAGAACCUGCCUGAAUCACAAUGUGGCUUCCGACCGUGCCAUUGACAUGGUCUUUACGGUGAGGCAAAUGCAGGAAAAAUGCCUUGAGCAGAACCUGAGUCUCUACAUUGUCUUCAUAGACCUGACGAAGAUGUUUGACACAGUGAACAGGAACACAGUGAACAGGGACGCAUUGUGGGUGAUACUUAGCAAGCUCGGUUGCCCAGCAAAAUUCAUCAAACUGAUCCAGCUCUUUCAUGUCGACAUGACAGGGGAAGUCCUAUCUGGUGGAGAGACUUCCGGCCUCUUCAACAUCUCCAAUGGCGUGAAACAAGGCUGUGUCCUUGCUCCGAUGCUAUUCAACCUAUACUUCACCCAAGUAUUACGACAUGCUGUGAUGGAUCUAGACCUGGGCGUCUACAUCAAAUACCGACUGGAUGGCUCACUAUUCGACCUUUGCUGCCUGACUGCAAAAACAAAGACAACAGAGAGACUCAUCCUGGAAGCUCUCUUCACAGAUGACUGUGCUCUCAUGGCCCACCAAGAAAAUCAUCUCCAAACCAUUGUGGACAGGUUCUCCACCGCAACAAAACUGUUUAGCCUGACUAUCAGCCUCAGCAAAACAGAGGUGCUGUUCCAACCUGCACUAGGGAGGCCAACAAACCAGCCGCGCAUUACAAUCGAAGGCACGCAGCUUUCUAAUGUCAACACUUUCAAGUACCUGGGCAGCACCAUCGCCAACGACGGGUCCCUAGACCACGAGAUUAAUGCCAGGAUCCAAAAGGCCAGCCAGGCACUCGGGCGGCUGCGCUCCAAAGUCCUCCAACACAGCGGUGUAAGCACUGCGAUGAAGCUCAAAGUGUACAACGCAGUGGUCCUCAGCUCGCUCCUGUACG
rnacentral:lncRNA from 1 species